UACGAGGGGGGCGAGCGUUGUUCGGAAUUAUUGGGCGUAAAGGGUGCGUAGGCGGUUUGGUAAGUCUCGUGUGAAAUCUCCGGGCUCAACUCGGAGCCUGCACGAGAAACUGCCGGGCUUGAGUGUGGGAGAGGUGAGUGGAAUUCCUGGUGUAGCGGUGAAAUGCGUAGAUAUCAGGAGGAACACCGGUGGCGAAGGCGGUCUGCUGGGCCAAGACUGACGCUGAGGCGCGACAGCGUGGGGAGCAAACAGG
rnacentral:rRNA from 1 species